GUCCAGACACGGCACUGGGCUGGGCUGUUCUCUGGGGAAGUGACCUGGCGCUCGGGGACUGAGCGGCAGCCCUGGGUCCCACCCCUCGAUCCCAGGAACCCCCCAGGGCACGAUGGCCACAGAUAUCUCCAGACACCUCCCAGUCCCCUGGAGGCACACCCCCGCCACCAUGAGGCCCCCCACCCCUGCCUCAGUCCGGUGAUAGAAAUGACUUGGGAGGCCGCUGGUCCGACCCUGCGUUCAGUGCCCCGUGUGGGCACCUGCGUGUUUGGGGAUUACAGUGAGGAGCCUGUGGAGGUGGGGCUCCUGGGCUCACGUUUCUGGUUGCCUGAUCCCUGGAAAGUGCAGUUCACAGCCUUCUACUUCCCGGCCAAGAAUCUGGCCGAGGAUCCCGGGUCUGGCCUGCUCCCAGCAGGUGCUGGGAGGGACCCAGCUGUACCCAGAGGGUGGGCUCUGUCUUCCACACGGCCGCUUGUCAAAGAGCCUGGACUAGGGUGGCUCUCAGUGGGGCUGUCCCCAGGGGACACGGGAUGAUGUCUGGGGCACCUGUGGUUGUCACACUGGGGGGCUCCUGGCAUCAAGUGGGUGGGGGUCAGGGACACCGCUCGGCCCCCACAGCGCCCAGGACGUCCCUGAAUAUACGCAGUGCGGAGGGCGACAGACCCUGCAUUAAGUAUUUGGCAAAAAUGGAGUCUGAUCCCUGGUCACACUGGACGCCAGAGUAAGUCCUCAGGGUCACGCGGUACAAGCCAGGGUGACCCCGGCCUCGAUAAGUCACCCCUCUGCUCCCCCUGCUCAGGUCGUGCGCUGCGUGUGCACAUCAGCGACACGCUGGCUGGGAAGGGCGAGGAAGGUGAAGCCUACGGCGGCCAGGCAGAGGCUCCGUGGGACAGGGCAGGGCUGGACUGACCCCAUGUUUCUGUCACCGGCAACGGGGUGAAGCAGAUCUCCAGAGGGUAUUUCCCAGCCUUCUGGUCAGUUCGGCACAGCACACACACGCGGGAGGCAGGGAAAAAAGCGUGGACAGGCGCCAAGGCCAGCAGCUUGGGCCUGCUGCAGGAGGGGGACCCGAGGAGGACGCACACAUGGCCAGAGGGCCCUACAGACGGAGGGGCCUGGAGCCCAGCCACCCCACCAGAGAGCCCGCCCCUCCGGCCUGCACCGUGGGGUUGACACGGCUGCCCUGGCCGGGGCCCCGCACUCGGACGGCCCACCCUGUCCUAACACCCCUCUCCCCGCCCCCAAUCUCCCCCCGGUCUGUGAUCGGCCCCGUGGCUGAGCCCCACCAAGUGCUCCGGGGACGCCUGGGCAGGUGGGGUGUGGCACCGGGGGCAUCUGAAUUUCCGAGCGGAGAGCGACCUGGAGUCCCUCCGGAGUUCAAGCCCGGCUGAACUGCUGUCCUCGGGGGCGACCCUGGCCCCACCCCCUCAAUGCCAGGAGCCCCCCAGCUGUGACAACCACAGAUGUCCCCAGAUACCGUCCAGUGUCCCCUGGGCCAGAGCUGCCUUUAGUUGGAAAAUGCUGGCCUGGACCAGGAACUGGGCUCCUCCAGGGAGGGUGAGUUGACCCACGGUGGGGGGCUAAGCCUGCACUUGCCUCUGCGGCCCCCACCCUGCCUCGGGGUUGGGAGCCUCGGCCCCUGCGUCAGCCAGGUCGGCGUGGGACCAGCCCAGACGAGGGGCUCAUCCCCCCUUCUGCCUCCGACGCUCCUGCCCAUCCCGCGGGGUUGGCGUGGACGUCCCCUCUCCAGAGACCUCCCUGGACCCCCGGCUGCAGAGUCUGUCUUCCCGGCCCCUCAUCGCCAGUCGCCAGCACAUCUCCCAGAAAACUGGCAGAGACAGAAGAGAGAGCUCCGUCCGCCCUCCAACCAGCACCCCUCGUGGGAGCACCCUUCCUCCCAGGGCGUCUGUCACAGUGAUGUGGCCACGCCUGACAAGCGUGACCAUCCUGUCUCCGUGGUGUCCUCGGCUCUGCCCCAGUCCCUCGGGUUUUCCUUGCUACCUUCUCAGCAAAUCUGAGUGACUUUUCACUUAAAAAGUGUCAUUUAGCAUUUUUUA